rnacentral:siRNA from 1 species
UUCCUGAGCCUUCUAUCAUAUC